CUUCCAACCCCCUUAAUUAAAUAAUUAUCAUCUCCAAUUAAUUAACCACCCCCUUAAUUAAUUAAUUACCCCUUAAUUAAUUAAUUAACCCCCUUAAUUAAUCAAUUAACCCCCCAAAUCUCCCACUUUUCCCCCCCAAUUCCCCAUCAAUCGGGCUAAUCACCCUCCCUAAUUACCUAAUCACCCCCUUAAUUACCUAAUCACCCCCUUAAUUAACUAAUUACCCCUAAUUAAUUAACUAAUUAGCUUAAUUAACCCACCUCCAGCGGGUGCCAGAGCCGGGUCCGCCCGUCGCUCCCCGUCACCGCCACCAGCGCCCGGGGGGCCCCUUUGGGGGGUGGGGUCAUUAAUUAAUUAACUAAUUAACUAAUUAAUUAACUAAUUAAUUAAUUAAUUAAUUAAUUAGGGCCUUACCCGGGGGGGCGACGUCGCCGUUGGCCGGCGCCCGGAGGUGACCCCGGAGGUGACCCCGGGGCCGCCCGGCCCCGUCCCAGGAGGUCGCUGCCCCACAGCGAGACACGGCCAGAACCGCCCGGCCCUGCCCCAUAGAUCCCAGCCCCAUAGAUCCGGACCCAUAGAUCCCAGCCCCAUAGAUCCCAGCCCCAUAGAUCCUGACCCAUAGAUCCUGCC
rnacentral:lncRNA from 1 species